rnacentral:rRNA from 1 species
CCCGCUCAGAAACUCAAAUGAAUUGACGGGGCCCGCACAAGCGGAGGAGCAUGUGGUUUAAUUCGAUGAUACGCGAGGAACCUUACCUGGGCUCGAACGUAAGAUGACUGUAGGUGAAAGCUUACAUCUCUUCGGAGCAUUUUACGAGGUGCUGCAUGGUUGUCGUCAGCUCGUGCCGUGAGGUGUCGGGUUAAGUCCCAUAACGAGCGCAACCCCUACCUUUAGUUGCCAUCAGGUAAUGCUGGGGACUCUAAAGGAACUGCCUACGCAAGUAGUGAGGAAGGCGGGGAUGACGUCAAAUCAGCACGGCCCUUACGUCCAGGGCUACACACGUGCUACAAUGGCCGAUACAGAGGGCAGCUACCUGGUGACAGGAUGCAAAUCUCCAAAGUCGGUCUCAGUUCGGAUCGGAGUCUGCAACCCGACUCCGUGAAGUUGGAUUCGCUAGUAAUCGCGCAUCAGCCCAUGGCGCGGUGAAUACGUUCCCGGGCCUU